rnacentral:lncRNA from 1 species
CAAGAUAAUAGUAUGCCAGAUGUAUCUGGUUCUCGGAUUUUGAUGCAGAAAACUUCAUUUAGUUGUCGAAGACCUCCAGUUCGUCUUGCAGAUAUUCCUGUCAAUUUUCCGCAAGAAGAUAAUAAUGCCAUCCCGAAGGUUGCAAUCAAGCAAAGGCCUCAGAAGCACUCACAAAUUAUGAGCAAUGCAAAUACUCAGUCCUAUAAGACUAAUCGUCAAAAAAGCGUUGAAGAAAGAAAAGAAGAGUAUAACAGGGCACGUGCACGCAUAUUCAACAGCAAUGAUAUGAGUAGCACAAUUUCAUAUUCAAAGGAUGAAGUAAAAUUGCCAGAUAUCCUACAAGACUGCUCUAUAUCUGCGAGGUCAGAUGAAAAAACUGCAAUAGAAGGAUCUGAAAAAAAUCUUGGGAGGAGUUUUAGCGAUUCUUCUUCAGGUAAUAGCAUAUUAAAUAGAACUAAGAUAGAGAAAGAGCCCAUUGUUAGCAGACACAAAACAAACAAUAGAGUAGCCAUUUUUCGGGACCGCGAGGUGGAUAGCAAGGAUCCUGACUAUGACAGAAGUUAUGACAGGUGUGUUCACCUUUCAUCAUUCCUCUCACCUUUCAUCAUUCCUCUCAAUAACCAAGAAAGUCAUUGUCUAUACUGCAUAUUGUCAUCGAGAAAGAGGGUUUUUAAGAAAUUUUCAGGUUCUCAAAAUUAUAACUUGCUGUUUUAUUGAAGAAACAGUUUGUCAGCUGGAUUCCAUGUGCCUUUUUUUCUUGGGUGUAGUAUUUUAUGUGGUUGCUAUCUUUGAAUCUAGUUCUUUUAACAAAGAAAUAUGGUAAUUCUUCUAAUUUGACAUUGUUAUACCAAAUUGCAAGAAUUGUUUAAAACUUGAUUACCAGAUAGCUUUACUUUUCCCCCUAAACUUUAAAUUCUAGCAGCAGCUUGGUAGAACAUAAUUGUAACUUUUUAAAGACAAUUUUACCAGUAAUAAUAAUCAUUUCAAAUAAAGCUCGGAUUAGUAUGUACCAACAGGCGUUUAUUGGUCCAAUAAUGGAUAGUUACUGGACCAUAUAACUUGGUACUGAUUAAUAUUUGCUUUAUAUUAUUAUUGUUUGGUGAUAUAAGGCUGUGUAUGUCAUUAUAGCAUCAUAUAUACUAAUGUUGUACCGGUCCAACAGUUUGUCAAGAACCGCAGUCAAAUAGGCAUUUUAAAAACCUUGGUUAUGAUAAUGUACUUUAUCCAAUACUGGGUUGUUUAUCCAAUCACAAAAUGACUUGCUAAUAUUCUAGAUAAAGCUUUAAUUUGUGAGCUCUAUAUUCAUGUUGCAUAUUCUUGUAUCCGCUGAUCAUUUGGUUUACUGUAUCUACUUUCAGGUACAUGCAAAGAUUUGAACCUGGGUUUGGAUUCAACAGUGGACCGGGCACCAUACAGCCACUAUAUUCCCCUGCUGUUAAUUACAAUACUGAAUUCCCACAACUUGGAUCAGGUCAUGGUGCUCAAUUUCCUGUUGACCACCAACCUCAGCCUAUUCCUCAGCAUCUGCAUGGACCUUGGUUAUCGCCUUCAGCACCUAAUGUGAUCAACUAUGGUCCUCCAGCAGGCAUGAUGCCAACAUAUAAUUCCAAUCAUGUUCAUGCUCAUUCCACGACAUCAGUUUACAUGCACUCGUCUCAAUAUUCUGUGCCUCCAUAUCCUGGAAUGUCUUUUGCUCAUCCUAAUGGACACAUUCAAUCUUUUGUGCAGGUUCUCUUCCUCUUUCCAUCUUUGUCAUUUCUUCCACACCUCAUUAUUUUCAAUUUUAUGCAAUUUAAUUGAUAAUUUACAUAUUUGUUUUUAUCAAUGCAUGGCCUCUGAUGAUGUGAAAUUAUUCUCUCUAUCCUGCUUGUGCAAUUUUUUUAAUACAAUGUAGUUUGGGCAUGUGUUCCCUACACAUGCCACAUAAGCUGUUAUUAUAUCUUUUAACAUUAGUGUUCUGUUAUUGUGAUACAUAAUGAUAUUGAUACUCAAUACAUUGGUAACUUUAUUUUAGAAUAAUUGAUCCAGCAAAAAAAAAAAGAGAGAAUGUCUUAGAUAAAGAGCUCUAUCUCAUUAAAGGUGGAUGUUUUAAGAUUACAAUGAAAGAUUGAUGUGUUUUGGUCAUCAUGUGGUCUCAAUUUGUUAUAUCCCAGACGUGCAGACAUUAGGUUCUCGGUGGAUGAUGUAGUUAAUCUUGGCUAUUCUUUAGUCAAGAGUAUGGUGUCUGAUUUUAUUCUGAAUUUUUUCAUUAAAAAAAUUAAAUUUAAAAAUCAGUCGGUUUCUUUCCCUCUAAUGAAAAGACUGCUAAGACAUUUGCUUGAACCUUGUAGCUGCUUUUGGAUGCCAAGCUAAGUUAUUUGUUUUCUUUUUCCCAAGCUCUUUGUCAUCUGGAAUCCCUUCUAUGUAGAUUUCAUGUUUCUUUUGUCUAAUGCUGCGUUUCUUUUUUGCAGACUCACCAGCAGCUACCUGACACGAGUUUUGGAUUAGCCCGGCCCCGUUGAGGGGCCUGGGCAUGCCUGCACCUGCCAGCAGGAGCUUUGAGUUCGAUAAUGUGAUGAUGCCACAGUUCCUGGCAUCAGUGAUUUGCUGGCAGGAAAAUAGCAGGCAAAAUGGACCGAGGAUGGCCAGGACAGUGUGUCAUAAGUCAAACUUAGCAGUUUCUGGCUUGCUCGGAUUUGUUGAUGCUUUCUGCAUGUCAGAUGAUGAAAAAGCAUGUAGUUUCCGAUGUUCUCUACUCUUGCGCAGGCUACAGACAAUCCGAUUUGAUGGCACUGAAACUGAACGGAAAGCAAUCAUAUGGGAUGUAAUUAGCUCGUUAGGAUGAGGGUUUGAUGUCAACAAGAUCUCUAAGAUGAUCGUCAUGAAUUUUUUCUGCAGAAGUACCAUGACUGGCAUCUCCCUUAGACAAUCCUUACUUUUGGAGGAAGGAUGCUCUUCAUGUAGUGAAAUUAAGUCAAUUCAAAGUAGACACAACACAGUGUUCUGCUUAUCAAGGUAUGGUGUUUGAUGACCAAGUUUUACCAUUUUAACCCAGUAUUUGUUCUGUCAAAUAUUUUAUUGUAUAUCUUGGUUAUAUUGUUUGUCUGAUGUUGUCAUUGUGAGUUGUUUCCUUCUAUUGUUAUUGAUUUAUAUCAACAGCACUGGGAAGGAUGCGGUUUUCUUUUCUCCAGUAAUUUGAUGCUAUUGUGGAUGUUUUUACGGAUGCUGUGCUGAAUACUUCAAACAUGCUUUUUUUUCCUUUGCUGCCAGAAUAUGUACUGAUAAGUUGUAGACAGAAAUAGGCUUCUCAUGUGGAUAUUCCAUCUAGAGGAUAAUGUAUGUAAGUAACCUUUCUAGAUGUACAUUUACUAAUGUAUUCGAGUAAAUGUAUGAUGUUUAUGUGACAUGAUAUUGGAGAAGUUCUCAAAUUUCAGUACUCUUUGGAACUGUCUAUUUUCAUGGGCUUGCUAAUUAUGUGAUCUUUUGUGCAGGAAUCAAAUCGAGAUGGCUGCCUCAACCAGAAAGGUCUUUGUUGCAUCUGUGAGAGCUCACACCAGAAACCAGAAAGCAGCAAAAUCCACUUCAUUUCCUCUUCCUCAAGGUCAGCCAUUCUUUCCAUUGUUUUCUCAAUUCCGGUGGUUAUUCUGAAGAUUUAGUUUGCAAUUGUGUAGGACUUGAGGUUUUUUCUGAAACAGUUUUCUUAUUUAGGAGUUCUUUGAAAAAGAAUUGUAGCAUGUUGGAUAUUGUGUUGAUCUGCUUUUUAGAAGGAAGAUCAAAGGAACUAAUAUUGAAGAUAAAAGCUAUAAAAAAGUGAUCUUUUAAAGGAAGAAACCAGAAAAGCUAAUCUGGAGAUUAAAAAAAGCACAAAAAUUUUGUUCUUCUAGGAAUAUUUGAUAGAUAUUCAGCAAUAUAUAUAUACACACACACUGCUGCAUUUUACUGGAACCUUGCUAGAUGUGGCAAAGAGAACCACAGUUACUGUGCUUUCUUCCAUCAGAGUUCAGUUAUUGGGUACUUGUGGUCAAGGUUUGACUUACCGGUUCGAGCCGGUAUGUCGACUGGCCGACAGCACGGCCUGUGCUGCUCCGUACCGGUGUACCGACACAUGGUACAUCAGUGUGUACCAAUGUUUCAAUGAGGAAGAAAGAGGUUGAAGAGGAAGGUCCAGUGGAUGAAUAGAGGAGGAAGAAGGGGAAAGGAAGAGGAAGAAAGAAAAGGAGGAGAAGUGCAGCGAUACGUGGGAAGCAGUGACAGCGUCGAAGGGAAGCAGUAGCAUCACAAUGGCACAGAGGCGGUGCUGCUGCAGCAUCGCAAUGGCGAAGAGGUAGCACUGUUGCAGCGUUGCAGCAGCGAAGCGAUGAAGAGGCAGCGCUGCUGCAACGGCGAAGUGGCGAAGAGGCAGCGCACGCUGCAGCAUCACAGCGGUGAAUACACAGUGCCUUGGCUUCGUACACGAGAAGAGCUCUAAUAUGUUUUUUUAAAGCUGAAAUGGAUUGGGGUCCACUACUUUUUAUUUUUUUAUUAUUUUAAUGCAAAUUGCCCGAAACGGGUUGGUCCGCACAUCUGUCCAUGCCUGGACAGGUAUGUACCAUCCAAACCAUACCGUUUCAGGCAGUACAGCAAUCCUUGCUUCUGGUAGUAUUUGAUGAUCAUUAUUAGUGGGUCGUAUGUUCUCAAGUAGGCAAGUUCAAAUAGGUAAAAUGGUAAAAUCCAUAUUUAUGGAUUAAGUCAUCCUGUUGCACCUGGCUAAUGGGGUUAGUGCAUGGUAUGUUCAUCCUAGUUCCUACAAGUUGAUAUAAGAGAUAUUCCCUUGUAUAUCCUCUUAUAUUUGAUUGUUACAUACUCGGAGGACAAAAGCAUGUCUCACAAAACUUCUGCAAAUUUACAAGUUAAUUAGCUAUUAUAGUAGGCUAAGCUCAAUUAUAGAGGAUGAGUUUUGAUUUGGCCACGUUAUUAUUGGCUCGGUGGAUGUUAAAGAUGUGUAUCAUUGCACAUCAAUUAUAUGGAAGUUACAGGAAGAGUGCAGAACCACAAAAAUAGAAGGAAAAAGGAAGUUUGAGAUGGAUAUCUAUCUAUAUCUUGUUCUUUUAGCAUCUUCUUAGUCUUCUUCUAGUCACGUGACCUCUUUAGAUUCAUUUUAUGUUUCGGUCUAGUAUUAUUUUUUGUAGAAGACUUAGAAAAAGAGUUUGAUAAUUUUUUUUUGUACUUCAAAAGUUUUUGGUCAGAGUUCAGUCAUUAGAAGUUCAUAACCAUGUUAAUUGGCCUAUUUUGGCUUUUUAGAUCAGUCUCAAACUUUCAUCAUGUUGGCCUAUAGUUGCAUGGUAUGCUGUUGUCUGUCAACGGAUUUCUAAUUAUACAGACAACAGAUUUCUGCAAAAGGAGUUGUCUGUCAGCUCUUGACAUUGGUAGUAUAUGUAUGGUAAUAAUCGGUGGUUUUCUAAAAUUAAAAAAAAUGUGCCUUAUUAGAGCAUAGAUUUUGUCAAGAAGCCAAUUGAUGAAUCUGAACAGAGUUCCUCAGCUCUUUGGCAAUUGCUUUUACAUAUUUCCUUGAUUAUAUAAAAAAGUGUCCAUUGGUCAAUCUCAUUCAUAUGUGGUUGUCACUACUGACUAAUACCCGAGUGUUUCUUAAAUAACUGUGCUGUUUAGUGAUUUUGUAUUUUUGCUUAAUUCAGACAUUGCUUGUAUUUUUAUUACAGGCAUUCAUACAAAUUUAGUGCAUAUAAUAAUCAGUCCUUUUAACUCACUUUCCUACAUAAAGGGCAGUCGAAAUGCUUCUCAUUUGAUUUGUGAUUUACUAGUUACUUCUGAAUCUUUCUGGAAUUUAUCAUUAAGAAACCUUAACUGUUGCAGACAUUUUUUUAUUUUUCUUUCUUUUUGUUCAGUAUUUCUUUUGGUGCUUUCUACCUUUCAGUUCUUAAAAAAAUUCUCAGUACUUUUGUUUCUGGGUUUAAUAGGAUGGUCCUAUCAGGCAAUUAAACCUCCAACAUUAAGCAUCUGGAUCUCCAAAUGGGCCACCAGUGACAUCUGGAUCUCCAAAUGAGCUCGAGGAUAGCAGACAUUUGGCUUACACAAAGUGAGGUCCCGAUGGAAAAGACUAGUCAUAUCAUCAUUUUUCAUUCAUGACUUUGAUUCUCGCAAAUAUGAUGUGUUCCCAAGUUCACAGGCAUCAACUGCUUCUCAUAUGCAUCCUUUAUUCCAUGUCUCUCAAUGUCAGUGCCUUUCUUGACAUUGCAUGCCUUCUGCAGAACCUAACAAAAGAGUUAGGGUUUGUAUUCUGUCUUAUGAUAGAGCCGGCAGUGGAGAGAUUACCCUGACCUAAAUGUUAGAUAGUUUGGAACUUGCUGGUAGUUUGGAACUAUUGAAGUGGAUGGCCAUUAAGAAAAGAGGUUACCUGGCCAUCUUGGCUGCCUGAUGCAUCUUAAUUAGGUAUAUACCGAUUGAAUAAAUUAUAUAAGGACAUUUAUGUCAUUUUAGCUGCUGUAAUGUUAUUUUAUGAUUUGAAUAUAUUCUCCAUCAUUGUGUCUGGUGGAAACUAGACUUUGAUUAAAUGAUAAAUUGAUAACACUGGAGUAUUUACUUGUGCGAUCGUAAAAUGUUGUCUCCUUGGGUUCUCAUGUUUCCUGAGGUUUACAAGUUUCUAUAUCUGGUGGUUUUUUGUUGAUAGAUUUGUUUGAGAAGCGUUUCUGAAUGCAUUUUACCUUUGUUUUGCCUCAUCAUUGCUUGCAGUUGUACCUUUCUCGGAAGUAGCACAUAAGCACAAGGUUCCAUUGUUACUUGUCCACAUCCAUUUUUGCCCACAACGUUGUUCUCUUUGGUUGGAUGAGAUUUGCAGAUGGUGAGCUGAUAAUUGCUUCUGAGGGGCUGCCAAUUUCCCGACACAGAGGGAGGUCCACUCAAUUGCAUGGGUCAUGCCAGCCAAAUCUUGUGUUCCCAUGGUGCAGAUGAUGUUUACACCAAAUGCCCUUUUCUCUGUGAGGACCUGCUGUGCCCAUGGGGUGAGUCAGUUGAUUUUGUUUGUUAUUUUCAUAGCGAUUCGAGAGCAUUGACCUUGACAUUGAUUAUGUGAUAGAUAUUAUGUGAUAGUGACUUCGGAGGAGGCAAGUUGUCCACAGCUCCCAAGAUCAUCAAUUGCAGAAUUAUCACACCCUAAGCUGAUCCAUAGCAAUCGGUGUGGGGCCUUUUACUAUGAUGCGAUACAUAUCAACGUCUUACUAAUGCGUUCGAGCAUCAACAUGUUCCCCCUUUGUAGAUGGUGCAUGUAAUUCUUAGAUUGACAUCAGCAGAACUUAGCUGAGAUUCCCACCGUUGUCUUGUGUUAGUAUCGUAAUGAGCUGUUCUAGUGCUUUACUGUCGCUGUCACAGAUUGUGCUUUCUGUAAUCCGAAGUAAAUGGUGAAUUUAAUUCUAUUAAUUGGAGACAAUAUGAGCUUAGCCAAGAUUUCACACACUCGUCUAAUUAGAGUGGUGUGGUAUGUGUGAGCCACUCUUUCUUAACUGUUGAUGCUACGGCAAAUGCGCUGGUCAAUGAGUUUUGUAAAGCAAAUAUGGUUCCAUGUAUUCCAAGGCCAGGCUUCUUCAUCCAAUUGUUUGGCAAAGUUGCAGUUUCCCGGUCCUUCUAUUUCUCAUAACAGCUGCCCCGUACCCCGUGAAAACGUCGCUAUUAAUUUGGACUUCAAAGACAGAGGACCCAAAAGAAAAGAAAAAGACAGCACCACCAUCAGGUGGUGGCAUGGGGAUACAAGAGGCCAGGCGCAUCAACCACCGAGGAACCAACAGGUACUUCACGUUAUAUUAUCUGAUUUUUUUGAACCUUUCGGCGUAGCCAUGUAACAUAAGUAAAAUACUAAAUGAGGGUUGACGGCCAUAAGCAAAGCACAAAAUAGCAAACGUGGACUCAUUCACAGGUUCAAUAAUAAACCUCGACCCAGUGGGGUUUUUGUGGAACUCUUGAGCUGCGAUCCUUGAAUUUCUCCACUUCGCCUUUGCCAAAGAACCAGCAGCAGUCGCCUGGCUGGUACUUUAAAUCGAGAUGCCAAGUAUAUAUGAUGCACUCACUCCCCAUGGUCCUCUCGUCACCUCCCUCAGGAAUUCAAUUAAGACUAUAUAGGAGGACGGGAGUGGCAAAGGCGAAGGCAAACACAAAAAAUUCUCCUUAUCCACAGCUUUGAUGACUCUACAGGGACACCAACUAGUGAGACAGGGCAUACAGCAAGAUGCUGGUCUAAGUUCAUUGGUCCACAUGUAUCUUGGGGUAUAGUCUUUUCUCGACGCCACUUUGACAAGUAAUAUGAUCCCAUGCCAUGCUAGGUUGCUAAUCUCUCACUUCACCACUGUCUGGACAAGUAAAUAGAUCUUGAACAAAACCUAAAUAAUAAUAAUGAUACUAAUACAAAGGAAUUUGUCUGAACUGUUCCUCCCUGUUCCUCUAACAAAACAUAGUUUAGACGAAGAUAAAAAAAAAAAUCGUAAAUUAGAUAAAACUUUGAUAGUAGGACAGUGCAUAAUCAAGAUCCAGACAAAAAAAGGGAAAAAAAGUUUGGAUUGCCUAUACAGCCUGGGCUGCUUUUGCAAGACAAGAAGGAUAAGAGAAAAUAAAUAAGAGUAGGCGGGGGAAAAAAAAAAAAAAAAAAAAAAUCAUCACUCUGUUCUUUGAUUACUUUUACUUGAUGGUUAUCACCACCUCCAAGUAAUGAUUCAAACUACAUGUCAUACAGAUGUGUAUAAUCAAGAUCAGGGAAUAAAAAAUCAAAAAGAAAGGGAACAAGUUUGGAUUGCAUUUGCAACCUGGGCUGCUUUUGCAUGACAAGAAAGAUAAAGAGGAAAUAAGAGGAAAAGGCAAAAUGAAAGAGGAAAAAAAAGGGAAAAAAAAUCAUCAUUCUUUGUUUGUUUAUACUUUUCGUUUAUGAUUAUCGGCAACUUUUUGAUGGUCACAAUCUUCUCUUUGUUUUAGUCAUUCUAUCAUAGUUUAUCAAUGGAAAUAACAAUUCAAUCUUAAUUUGGUCAUCACUACUGUCAUGAAUAAUUAACAUAUUAUGUUAUUGUCUUUCAGUUUUACUCAUGCUUUAUAUAACAUAUAGAGGAUUUCUAAUAAGCUUGUGGAACUCAUUUUGAUUAAUUUUUUGACUAUUUUAGUCGUGUAAACGUAGAUGGAUGUAAUGUUUAUGUAUGUCAAUAUCUUUUAAUUUUCUAGCUCCGUAGAAUAGUGUGAAGUGUCAUCCAAUAUAACACACUUGAGCUACCCAAGUGGCACAUGGUUGGAUGGGCCUCUAGGGUAUUGUUUAGAGUUGGUUCGUUGCUUUGUUAUGUAGUAGUAGGAUCUAUUGGUUCUAACAAAUUAUCUUAAACAUUUUGUUAUACGAUCGUUUAAAGCUUGCAAAGUCUAUCUUUAUAAUUUGCAUUCUCUAUCAAAUGUUUGUUGAAAUAUCUACUUGUGAGAUAUCGAGUUAAAUAAUUCUUCUAAUCUGUCUUUUCUUUUAUAGAUUCUUAUAUUAUCAUAAAAGAUUUUUGAGACACUAUCCAUUUGUAGACAAACACACAAAGGUGUCGUACGACUUAGGAAAUAUGGCUAAGUUUAUGACAAUUUGUACCAAAGUGAGACAUACAUACUUAAAAACACUUGGUAUGCAAAUAUAGGGGACCUAGUGAGGUUGUAUUAAGGGUGGUCAGCAUAUGCAACCGUUUAAUAGAAACUAGUGUAGAGACAUAUGAAAACGAAUCGCUUAGAGGAGCGAAUAUCUGUGAUUGUCAUUCAAAGGAAUGGCCAACCCUUUGCGCGAGAGGCACCAUGAGGUCAAGUAACUUAGGAAGAAUGUGUAGCACACAAAGGUUGGAAUGGUUGAGUUUAAGCUACGACUCGAUGUUGGCAACCAAACUUAAUAGCGUUAAAGGCAAGCGAGAGCGUUUGGAAAAAGAUGAGAUCAUAUAAGGAGGGAUGAGUUGUUCGGUGACUUAAAGAGUUAUGUAAAUUGCAUAAAGGUAAGAGAAACUUCUAUAUCGAAAAAUUUGAUACUCAUGUAAGGGCUUAUAUACAGAUAAUGGAUUGUCCAUGACAAUCCCAAGGUGAUCAAAACUCGAUGCCAUGGAGCAUGAAAACUUUUUCUUUGACAUGGGAAUGAUACGUCUAUAGGAGAUUGAAGUGUGUAGUAGGUUCAACAAAUUGUUAGGCCUUAAGGGGGGCAAUAAAUGUUAUAUUAACAAAGAGUCAUAGUCUAGUAAGUGCAUUUGCGAUGGUGAAACAGUGCACAAUUUGUUCAGCAAGGUAGAGUAGUCCAAGAGGAUGAUGACCUUUGAAAUUUUUAGAGAGAAAGUUACUUCAACAAUAAAGAUAUAUAAGAGGAAUAUAUCUCAAUUCUCCAAAAGGAGAAUCAUAUGCAACAGACCGUAAAUGUUGAGUGGGCUACCCUAAGACAAUAGUUCCAUAAAGCUCAAUGGACUAAGUGAGUGACAAGGAGUCAUCGCAUGAUCUCAAUGGACUAAGUGAGUGACAAGGAGUCAUCGCAUGAUCUCAUAUGGACAUAUUACGAGAUCAAGUGGGGUGCUCCUGAGGUAAUAUCAAAUGAAUGCACACUUAGAGCUAAUAUGAAGAUCGAAUUCAAUGAAGGGUUGACUCGUGGAAUGGUGGGCACGAGGACCACCAUCAACUCAAUGCGAAUAGAAGAGUGGAAUAAUUUGGGUAAAACUCGAUGAAGUGCCCAAGACGUAUAAAGGGAGUCGACAUAAAAACCAAAAAAUUGAGUAGAGGCACAAAGCAUUUCUUGGUCAGAGGUCAAGGAUAUGAACUAUUAUAGAGGCAAGAGCAAGAUCAUAUCGUUCCAUAGGUCCCUUGUUCUGAUGGAACGAACUAAUCUUGCAUAGUUUUAAAGUCAAAGGGAGCUUUAAGGCCUAUGCAUCUUAUCUCAACAAAAUAGUUGAUAAAGGGACGGAAGCAAAGUUGGGGUCAGAAAACCUUAGCAUUGGGCAAGAGGAUGUGAAGACGAGUACUCUUGAAGAAUAUGUUGCAAUGUUACCAUUACCAUUUGAGUUACUGCAAAAGAAGUUAUAUGCAAUAGAGAUUAUGUUAGGGGUAAAAGCCCAAGAUCUAGAUAAUGGCACAUCAAUUUCAGUGAAGUCAAUGAAAUUCGAUAGUUAUUGGGUAAUAGACUAUCCUAAAGUUGCACUUCGUUCAUGUGUGACCCAAGAGCGAGUGGACGAAGAUCGAUUGUUAAAGGAGCAAACAGUAUCAGAAGUGGCAAAGGCUUUGCGAUGUGCUAACGGAGGCCACACAUAGAGAGAUUAUAGUCCAAAUUCAUCCCACAAAGAUCAAAAUACAUUAAAAAUGUCAUAAGAAGGUGACAUGAUACAAUAUAUCAUGAUGGAAUAGUUUUAAGGCAAUACGAUACACAUAGAAGAAGUCCGGUGAGUGGCUUAAUUAUAUAAAGGUGAACUUCACUUUAGUAAGCAACACAACAACAAGAAGAGUCAUAUAUUCAAGAAGUGAAUGACAUGGUACCGUAAAGGCGGGUCUUUCAUGUGUGUACUAAAUUUUACAUUUGAUGAAAGCCUUGGUUAUCAUAGAAGUAUGAUUUGAGUGGCUGGAGAGUUGGGACUACUCUAAAGCUCAUAUUCGCUAGAGAGCCCAAUAAGUCAAAGGAAAAGGCUGAGCGAAUGAAUAUUACUACCAAUGAUGCAAAGGAGAAUAGAAUCGACGCAAGCCCUACAACAUGAUAUAGAGGUUAUGCAUGAGAGUUACAGUCUAUUAUUUUAUCAUCCAAGGGAAACUACUCAAAUAACACAAAGGUGUUGAAACAAGUAGUCGAAAAGGGCAAGGAGGCAAUGACGAGUCCAAAGGGACUUAGCUACCCAAAACCAAGCGUUAAUUAGAUAAAGGGGGACUUGGAAGAGUAUCAUAGUGCCACAAAAAUGGAUCUACCAAUCACGAAGAAAGGGAUACAAAUACGAGGUGAUAGAUAGUAAAGCUAUGGGCAUAACAGCAUCAUGAUAUCGUAAAGGUAGGACUUUCGUGGAGUCAUCGAUCCUUUGCUCUCAUGGAAGGAGAGCGCAUGGUUGUAAAAGAGGGCUAAGGAGGUAAAAACUUUAAGUACCGAUAAGAUAGAAGGGCAAAGGUUAUGGAACUUCAUAAGACCAAUAUUGACAAGCUUCUCAUCAAGAUAACUGAAAAUGAGGAACUUUUGGUUGAUACAAUAUUACUUGACUAAAGAAUGGAAUAGAUAGUACGUGAUCUUGUACAUUUUCUAAUUAGAGGAGUAAGUGAUAGAAAUGAUAGAGAAGAUGAUAUAAUCCUAGAGAUGACCAAAACAAUAGGAGAUUUUCUUUAAGCCGGGGUAAAAUUUUACUCUUUUCGGGCAAAACUUCUUAUAUUUUUAAAGUUCAAUGGAAAUAAGGAGGUGAAUCAUAGUAGUUAACACAAUGCAAGGAGUAUAAAUACCUUGGGUGCUUUAGAAAUAUGAGCAAAAGACAAGCAAAGUUAGUAAUUAGCUUGAUGCAUGAAGUAUAACCCUCGAGAAGGUGAGUGAAGUCAAGUAACAUUUGUCUUCUUAACUCUUAAGAGAAUGGGUAAAAAUCAAGUAUCUCAAUUAACUUAUUUAUCUAACAAAGAAGCUUUACACAUAUUCAAAGACCCUUCAUAGAGACUUGGUGGAAGAUAACAAUUGUCAAAUCUUCACUAAUGGUGAUUAUAUCUAUUGAGAGUCGAUUGUCUAUUUCAUUUCCCAAUAAAAUACUAAUCGAAAGCAGAAGUAAUGCUAACCUACUUGAUGUGACAACUAAGCAAAAGAAAAAUCAAUCAAUAAAUUUUACAAGGCGAUGCUAGUUAAAGCUCUAAUAGGCAUCCACCUAACUCAAGCGACAUGAGAUGCUUGAGAGAUUGAUGUAUAACAAUAAAGGUCUUUUCCUUCAUCCGAGGGAUCUGUAGGAACAAAUAAAAAACAACACAACUUGAUUGACCCCACACCAGAGUCUGAGUUACUAACAAGUUGAAGCAAUGUUGGUGGAUUAAAAUUUGACCCUACAAUGAUAAUGGAGAGCAAUUGAAAGCCAAGAGAGAUGCAUUAUAGCUAUUACGAUAAGAUGUCAUUAACGUCUUGGUUAGCUUGAUGUGGUCCAGACCCAUGUGCGCAAGAUUAUCCAAGAUGGCUUCAGGGUGAAAACGUCAUGCUCCUGAGGUGCCACAUAUACGAAGAUCAAAAUCGAGAGAGAUUUCUUGACUCGAUCCCUUUGACACCCAAGUCAGUGAUAUAAGAUAGGUGACUGUAGACGCGAGUGAUUAAAGAGUAACGUCCCUAUUUUAUUAUGUUGAAGAUAAGCUUUUAUACCUGGUUGUAAAGGGACAUAAUAUUCUAGGACAUAUUGUAUGGGAAUGUAGCCUCUAACCACCUCUACCAAUUUUCUCUUAACAUUUUAUCUACAUGGGUGACAAGGGAGGAUAGCCUACAACCACCUGCCUUGGACCCUUGUCCACGUGGGCAAACAAAUGGAGGGUAGCCUUCAUCUUCUCAUUCUAGUUUAGAUACCACGUGGAGGUUACGUGUCGGAUAAUGAUUGGCUAACGAUGUUUUCCCUCGCAACUAAAGUAUAAGAUUAAAGAUUCAACAAAGACAAAGAGAUACAACAUCUACAAAGACUUCGACAAGAACACUGAAAGAAUAAGUGAGGAAGAAUGUCAUGGACAAAGAUAUACAUAAGAUGUUUGAUAUAAUGUUUGUGUAUAUUCGUAAAUUUCGAUUUUGUUCAACGGCUUAUAGUAGGCUUAGUAACCCCAUUUUAAUUGGCUUUUGUGACCAUUUUAUCCUAUAAAUGCAAGUUAUAAGAAAUCAUCACGUAGAUGUAAAAUUACCUAAAACUAGAUUAUCCAAAUAAUCAUUUUGGAGGUUUUCUAACUCCGUAGAGUGGUGCGAAGUAUUAACUAGUACAAUACACUAGAGCUACCAUGUGACACAUGAUUAGAUAGACCUUUGGGGUAUUAUCUAGGGUUGUUUACUAUCUUAUGUUGUAGUAGCGUCAUGUGAGCACUUAUAAGGACUUUUGAUCUCAGCGAACCACCUUGGACCUUGUGACGUGCGAUCAUUCAGAGCUUACGAAGUUUAUAUUUAUAAUUUAUAUUACCUAUCAAGUAUUUUGCUAAAAUGUGUGCUUGUGAAAUCCUGAGUAAAACAUUUCUUUUAAUUUGUUUCUCUUUUUAAUAUUUUUAUGGGAUCAUAAAAGGUUUCAGGGGGACUAACCCUUUACGGAUGAACACGUAAGGAUAUUGUACAACUUAAACAAAACUAACUAAAUCCAUAAGAUUUAAUUAAAAAUAUAUUUAAAAUAAAUUAUGAAUAUAAUAAUAUAAAAAUAUCAAAAUAUAUGAAAAAUAAAAAUCAGGGUUUAUAAGGGAAAAGACAGAAACUUUCAGUGUCUCCAAGGAGACGUAUGGAUGUGUUGCAUGAUACAGCAAUCCUGAAUCUAAAUUUUUCUAUGGCAAGCUUAACCAAGUAACGUCUUGAAAUGUUUAGGUAAAGUUGAACUCAUAAAUAACAAUGCAACUAUUUUUCCUUGCACCAAAAAUAAAUGAAAAUGUUAUCAGGAAGUAUGACAAAGAACAAAAAAAAGGAAGUGAAAGUUAGAAGAUUGACACCCAACACCACUCUCAACUGAAUAAACUUAGAAUCACUUAAAUACCCGAAUCAAUGUCAGCAACACAUUUAAACUGCUGCAGAAACAUCAAGAUUUGUCGAUCCUGUAUUCAAGACACUUGCGCAUUAUCCGGCCUACUGUAUCAACUUAUUGGAUGUGUUGUUAUUAAUUUUUCAGCUUACUAAAAUUAUUCACAGCGUUUAGCAUCACAUUGAGAUUAAAAAAUAAAAGAAAAUUACCAUAUUAAUUUGCGCUAAAUUUUUGAAAACUAAUCCAUUGACUUGUUCUAUUCUUCUAUAUCAAACACAAAAAGAAAAGGCAGAGCAAAUGACUGAAAAUAUGAAUACGGAGAAGCUAGUUUCUCGUGAUUCAGUUAGGUAAUACCGCAGAUAGGAUUCAACACUUGAACAAGAUUUCAGAUUGCUACCAAAAGCUCUUCUGACAAAACUGAUACAGUCAGUAUAUGAUACAGAAGUAGGAUCAAACUAAAGAUAAAGAGAAGAGACUUAAUUCACUUAAAUUAAGAACUUAUGAUUAAAUAAGGAUUGGAAUUUUAAGGAAGAAAAUAUCCUACUAUCCUUCCCUCUCAAGCAGCUGGUGACGGGGAAGGAAGAGAUGUGGCCAACAAGAGAUGAAGUGCGUCACGCUAGUUUAAUCUCAUAUCAAAAGUGGGAGGAUGCUUUAAUUGGUUUAUAGGGGCUUGAUGGUAUACAAUCAAUUUGGGCUCAAGCCGUUUUGCUCAUGUGAUUCUAGAUCUAUCAAGUAAAUGAGUCAAUUAUCUCAUCAAGUUGAUUUCAUUACAAUUAUAUAUAAGUUACCUUAGUUUAGUCCCAUAAUAGUCAUCUCUGAUGGGAUGAUUUAAUCAUUAACUUCGUUAUCAAAAUAUUUAAAAUGAUAGAUUAACAUAUCCUUUGAUGAUUGGAUAACUGAUUCAUUAGGUUUAUUGAGCCUAAACUACUAGAUCAAAAUAUUUAAAUUUGGGUUAGCGAUACCAUACCCAUUAGACCUUUAUAAAUAAAUUUAAUAUUUUAUCAACACUACCAAACUGAAAGAAUAAAUGCACAUCCAAACUAAGUCGAAAAGGGCUAUUCAUCCAAGACUAAAUGCACAUCGUAGCUUGAAGCCACAACACCGCAAGUUUAGUCCAUGGGAAGAGACUUGAAUUGUUAAAAAUGUAAGUGACGCGAGAUUGGCAAGGUAAAUGAUCCUACAUAAGCAAAGAGCCUGACAAAGCACCAACGCAAAAGAAAACUCGGAUUAGAGAAUCGACGGAUCGAAGAUAGAGCAGAAGCUUUACCGAUACCCAAAUCCAAGAAACCCAGGACAAGAUCCAGAGAAACUAUGAAGAAAAGAAUGAACAAGAAGGCAACAUAACAGUUGGGGUUAGAGAAUCGAUGGAUCGAAUACCGAGCAGAAACGUCGCCGAGAUUGCUCCGUGGUGCAAUUGAUCGUUCAAGAACGAGGAUGCCUGAGCGGAUGGCGGAGAGACCUAGAAGGAUUCUGAGCGAUCGAGGGCGGAAAGCCGAAAGCGAGCAAAGAACAAGCCCUAAUCUACACAAGUGGAGGAGGAGGAGGAGGAAUGCCAUCGCCCGAAACCGACGGGGAUGGGAUUGGUGAGCGAGAGCGAGAAAGCGGGCCUUUUAUAGCUACGAUUGCGAGCGGGGCUGUUACGAUCCCAACGGCGAAGAGCUUAUUUGAGACGCGGCGAUCUCCGUGCAGUCUAUCCGUUAUAAACCAUGUUGGCGAGAUGACGUAACAGCAAAUCGGGU